rnacentral:rRNA from 1 species
AACGAACGCUGGCGGCAUGCCUAACACAUGCAAGUCGAACGAGACCUUCGGGUCUAGUGGCGCACGGGUGCGUAACGCGUGGGAAUCUGCCCUUGGGUUCGGAAUAACAGUUGGAAACGACUGCUAAUACCGGAUGAUGACGUAAGUCCAAAGAUUUAUCGCCCAAGGAUGAGCCCGCGUAGGAUUAGCUAGUUGGUGAGGUAAAGGCUCACCAAGGCGACGAUCCUUAGCUGGUCUGAGAGGAUGAUCAGCCACACUGGGACUGAGACACGGCCCAGACUCCUACGGGAGGCAGCAGUGGGGAAUAUUGGACAAUGGGCGAAAGCCUGAUCCAGCCAUGCCGCGUGAGUGAUGAAGGCCUUAGGGUUGUAAAGCUCUUUUACCCGGGAUGAUAAUGACAGUACCGGGAGAAUAAGCUCCGGCUAACUCCGUG